UGCAUUUCUAUGGCGUCUUUGGAGUGGCAAUGAAGAACACUCUUUUCCAAAAAGAGCCUUCCACUAUUCGAUCAAAGUAAAGAAAUUCCAUAAAGACAUUAAAUGUUCUGAUGGGUCCUCUGGUGAAAGCAGAGAUUGAUCCUGAGAGAAUGAAGACAAAGGACGGUUAUGUUUUGGAAGGGCUCAUCAGAGAAGUAAGAUUACAGCAAAACACCGUCCUGUGACCUGAAGAGAUAGCAAAUCUGAGAGACAUAGCCAAUAUGGGGAAGAUGCUGCUGAAGCCAAAAACUGUACAAUGUGUGGAGCAUGGUGCAUUGCCAGUGCAGUGUCAAUUUUGUGGGCAUGAUUCUGCAGAAACCGUAGGUCGGUCCUGGAAGCAACUGGAUAUCUAUAUUGAAACCAUCUGGAAAACAGUCUGAAUUUCCCCUUCUUGUAUCCUAUCUCAUGCCAGAGAUGCAUUGAAUGCUGAAAUAUUUUGGACAUUCAACAAUUCCUUGAUAUAAAUAUAAAUGUAAUAGCAUCUUGAUCUCACACUUACUGUGUAUUGACAAUAUAUUGAUUUUCAUUGCUUUUGUCGCUCUUGUUCUGUGAAUGCUGUUUCAGAUUAUGCACUUUCUUUCUUGGAAAUAGGAGGAGAGUUUAGGUUGAUUUGACCUAUUAGCCUGAGUA